rnacentral:lncRNA from 1 species
ACAAGACUUGAGACCUGAUAGAAGUUUGUUGAGCUCUUGUUGUCUGUUAGGGGAUGUGAGAAGGCUAAGAUCAACUUGUGGCACAGCCAGCAGGGGAGGAGAGGUAUUGAUUGAUCCUUGUGCAUAAAUAUACUUUUCUGGAACUUGAUUAUUAUUUGCUAGUUCUAGUACUGACUUGAAAACUAUUUCUUGUUGAGUUUCAGCCAUGGUUUUUAUUUUUGUAAGAGGCAAAUGUUAGCUAGUUGUACAUCUUAUCCUUUACUUCGUUUCUCAAUAUAUGAUAUAUCCAAAGCUAGGUGGGAUUUGUGGACUAAGACAAAUUCAGUAUCUUUUGGUUAGACUCUGUAUUUAUAUUAAAAAUUUAAUUAAAUAUAUAUGUAUAUUAACUUGUGAACUCUAACAAAAUUGAUUGAUGGUUUAAUGGUAAGAAAGAAACUGUGAAAAUGUUUUUCACGCUAGAGUUGUAAGUUCAAUUAAUUUUUGUCAUCUGCUAAUAGUUUAGUUCAAAAUGAUCUUAUAUGGGACAGUAGGGAUAUUUUUUAGCUAAACUAUUUUUUUUUAUGUAUUUCUGCUUUUAAAAUUAUAUUUAAGUAAAUUUGAGCAUAAACAUUAUUUCAAAAUAAAAGGUUUGUUUAAUUAUAUUUUUUAUAAAGAAUAUUUCGAAUAAUGUUAAAUAUAAUUUUUAAAAUAAAAAUGAAUUAGAAAACAAGUUAUAAACUGUUUUCUAAAUUUAAAAUGCAACUUUCAGUUGAAUUUAAAAAAUUUAUGAUGCUUUUUCAAAUAAAGUAAAAAAUUAUUGUAAUAAAAAUGAAUAAUUUGUAUGGUCAAAGUCAAAUGGAUCCUUCUAUACAAAACAGCCAAUUGGUCAUAAAAUUGGAUUUUUCAAUGGAGUGCUGCUCUAUUCUGUCGGUGUGUUUAUUUUAUAGAAAUUGUGGUGGAUAAUACAUAAGAAAACCCUCAAACAUUUUUUAUUUUUUUUAAUUCCUCUAAACUGAUAGUAUAAAGUACCAGUAGUAUUAAUAUCACCUUUUGUGGGGAGAGGAAAAAAGAAAAGGCCCACAUCACUCAUCAGUUUAUUAAAAAGUGUGUUACCGAAAAUCUAAUAAUUUUUGUACGCAUCAUGUAUUUGUAUUGAAAAAUUGAGUAAAUAAAUAAGAAAAAUGACUUGAUUAUGUGUUGUUGGUACAAUAACAGAUAAGAACCUUUUAAGUUUGCUGCCUUCUUGGUCCAGGGAUGAAUUUGAUCACCACAUAUUUAUUUUGUGUGUUCCUAUUAUUUAUUUUUUCAAUUUGAGAUAUAUUGGUGGAGCCUACAAACUUCAAAUCCUGAAUAUAACAACUCUGACCACAACAAACAAAAAUGAAGGAGAUAAGCUCUUAUGCUUCAUUGUUUUUUGGCAUAAUAUGUAAAUAUGUCAUUUAACUUGGUCUCAUUACACAUUUAUGCCCUCCAACUUUGGGUGUGCACAAGUAGAUACUCAAACUUAUAUAAAGUUGAACAAAUAGACACACACGUCCUACAUGACAUCCUUAACUUGGUCUCACUUCACAUUUUUGCCCUGCAACUUUAGUUUUGCAGGGGAAAAGGGUCAAAAAUACCCCUCAACUUUGUUUUAUUGGUUGACUAAACCCUUACCGUUAAAACGAGGUUAGUUUUACCCCUGCCGUCUACAAACUCAUCAUAUGUACCCUCCAAAUUAACGAUUUCCCCAAAUCAAUUCCAAAUUCUCAACUUCGACCCGAAUUAUCCCUUUAAAAACAAAUUAUCAAUUAAAUCCGACCCAUAACCCAUUUAAUCUGAUCUUACAUACCAAAUGUAUAAAAAAAAAAGUAAUGAAUUCACCAAAACCCAUUUCAAUUCCUAAUGAACAAAUAAAUUUCCAGCCAUUAAUGAGCUUUUAAGAAGCAAUGUUAGGAGCAAAAGCAGAGGAAGAAGACAUGCCAGCCUUAUGUUCAUACACAAAAAUAAGAACAAUAUUGCUAUUGAAAUAAUCCAAUAACCUUCUUCCCCAAAAGUCACUUGUAUAGAUAUAUUCACUAGUUCUUCAAAUCCGCCGCACACGACGGCGAAAAGGCAGUACUAGGCGGUCGAAUUCCACCAGAAAACAACAACAAGAAAGAAACUAAAAAGUUCAUGCUGCUGCAAUUUUGGGUGGGAAUUAUCUAAUUACACAAAUUCAGAUCUGUGAUUUCAGUGUGAAGAAAUGGGUGUGAUGUUUUCGAUUUGGGUAUUUUGGGGAAGAAGUUGAAAUUAUUGAUUUUUCGAAGUUGGAACUCGCUUGUAAAAUCCGAAAUUCAAACUCAAGCUCCAAGCUCCAUUAAUGGCUAUGAAGUUUCCAUGGUUGGUUCUUCAAGUUUCAGGCUCCAAUUCAAAAACUAGUACCCUUAGAAGCUUUUAACAAUGGCUUUGAAAAUAUUUACAGAAUGAGUAACACUACAACAAAUUCAAUGACAAGGGAGAAAUCCAUUCUUUUUAGUUUUGGUGGACUCAACAAGAUUGAGAAAAUUGAAAAUUAAAUUAAAUUUUGUUUAUAAUGGUGGUGGGUUUUAUAUGGGUCGGAUCAGAUUAGAAAAGAAUUUCAUUCUAAAUGAGUUUUAAAUGGGUAAUUCGGGUCGAAAUUGAGAAUUUGAGAUUGAUUUGGGGCAAAUCGUUAAUUUGGAGGGUACAUAUGAUGAGUUUGUAGACGGCAGGGGUAAAACUAACUUCUUUUUAACGGUAAGGGUUUAGUCAACCAAUAAAAUAAAGUUGGGGGGUAUUUUUGACCCUUGUCCCGUUUUGCAGAAAUAAGCACUUAAACUUGUAUAAAAUUGAACAUGUAUAAUAUUAAUAUAUUGAAAGCCAUACAGAAGUAUUCUGUUCUGUCGCAAAGCAACUUUCAGUUCAUCCUGUUUGGAAAUAUUGUGAAUGUGGUAUAUUUUGUAAAUGAAUAACAAUAGGUUCCAGAUCAAACCCCUAUUCAAGAGCUUGCAUUUCUCAAAGCAUGUUGAGCUCGUGUACAGCACAGGUAACAACGACUAGUAAAAAUACAAAUAGAGAAAAAAGAAGGACAAACAUACUGUCAGCGGGGGUUUGAUGGAAAAGCAAGAUUUGUUGGCAGCUAAUCUUGUUCUUGGCAUAUCAUUGCUGUUUCGAUUGGUCUUUUCCCGUGCUGAUAGCUUUGGAAGAAGAGUUCAACAUAAUUCUUAACGUCCUUAUACGCUCUUGGCCUUUCCUCAUUGAUAAGCUUCUCCACUGGUCCAAUCCCAACAGUUACAUCUGGCAUAAUGAAAACAGCAAGGGUGUUUCUUUCUCGUUCUGCAUUCGUCACCACCCUGUGCACGGGGCUCUUAAAGAUACCAUUGCUCAUUAUCUGCAAAGAACAACAAUCCUAAGAACUCUACAUGUUGUACAACAUUUUGUUGGAAAAUAUUAGAGAUGGCAACGCUAAGGAAGAAUAUUUAAUCAACAACCAGUUCAAGUUGCAACAAUUAAUCAUAAAAGGAGAGAGUCUUGAAUAAGAAAAAUCAUUCCGAGGCACGCUAUGGAAGGUUGAUCUCAGAAUAGAUUUCCCUUGCUACCUGAGUGCAAAUAGUACAGUAACGUCCUACUUCUAAAAUACAACGAACCAUCAUCUAAUGUACACUCAAAUAGAGUUCUGGGGAACUCAUGAAGGACAAAGGACGUUUGAAGGAGUUGAAAUCAUAAAGAGCCAAAUAAUGUUGAAAUCAUACCUUUCACUGAAGAGAUGAGUCCUUAUAACAACUGGAUACAUCUUUUCAGAUGUGUCCUAAAAAGAUUGAAUGCAUCUUUUCAUAAAAGAAUUGUGUCCAACCAAAAGACACAUUAAAUUUUGAAUCAAUUAAAUAAAUCCAACACAUUUGAAGCUCUUCGGCAUGAUUUAGUAUACUCUUUCUUACCUCAACUUGAUCUCCAACAUUAACGAGUAGACCAUAUGGGACAAUAGGCACUCUGAACCAUUGAUCAUCUUUGAGAACCUGAAGCCCCUCAACUUCUUUGUCUUGCAACAGGAUGGUAAUGGCCGAUGCAUCAGCAUGUGGUUUGACUCCGAGUACAACCUCAGGUGUUGGACACGGAGGAUAGAAGUUGAAUCUUGCAAUCAUAUCUCCGCGUUCUCCACACUGGUC